CGUAAAGGAGGCCAGUGCCACCAGGGUUAUCUCCUAGCUCCAGAUGCUGGAUAAGUUGAAUCGCUUUUGGAUGACAUUCAGGUCUGAGUGAUGAUUUGGAGAAGAAAAGACCAUUCUUCCCGAG
rfam:Anolis carolinensis chromosome 5 cont2.12451, whole genome shotgun sequence.